GGGUAGCUAAAUUGGUAGAGCGGCAAAGGUUUCCUUUGUGUGUUGCGGGUUCAAGUCCCGUCCC
rnacentral:tRNA from 1 species